ensembl:lncRNA
GUGUUAAGGUGUCCUCAUAUCAGGCCCUGCUCGUCUCUCUCCCCCUCCCCCCUCAGCGUGUUAAGGUGUCCUCAUAUCAGGCCCUGCUCGUCUCUCUCCCCCCACCAUCCUCCCAUUGAAUCAAACGGCUACACGUGUGUGUGUGUGUGUGUGUGUGGGCAUUUGUGUGUGCGUGUACAUGUUAGCGCUUGUGUGCGUGUCUGUGUGUGUGUGUGUGUGUGUUAAUGUGUGUGUACAUGUGUUAAGUGUGUGUGUGUGUGUGUGUUACAGUGUGUGUGUGUGUUACAGUGUGUGUGUGUGUGUGUGUGUGUUACAGUGUGUGUGUGUGUGUGUUACAGUGUGUGUGUGUGUGUGUGUGUGUGUGUUACAGUGUGUGUGUGUGUGUGUGUGUGUGUGUGUGUGUGUGUGUGUUACAGUGUGUGUGUGUGUUACUGUGUGUGUGUAACAGUUUGUGUGUGUGUGUGUUACAGUGUGUGUGUGUGUGUGUGUGUGUGUGUGUGUUGUGUGUGUGUGUGUGUGUUGUGUGUGUGUUACAGUGUUGUGUUGUGUGUGUGUGUUACAGUGCGUGUGUGUUGGUGUGUGUGUUACAGUGUGUGUUGUGUUGUGUGUGUUGUGUGUGUGUGUGUGUGUGUGUUACAGUGUGUGUGUGUGUGUGUGUGUGUGUUACAGUGUGUGUGUGUGUGUGUGUGUGUGUGUGUGUGUGUGUGUGUGUGUGUGUGUUACAG